rnacentral:rRNA from 1 species
AGAGUUUGAUCCUGGCUCAGAUUGAACGCUGGCGGCAUGCCUUACACAUGCAAGUCGAACGGUAACGCGGGGCAACCUGGCGACGAGUGGCGAACGGGUGAGUAAUAUAUCGGAACGUGCCCAGNUUGUGGGGGAUAACUGCUCGAAAGAGCAGCUAAUACCGCAUACGACCUGAGGGUGAAAGCGGGGGAUCGCAAGACCUCGCGCAAUUGGAGCGGCCGAUAUCAGAUUAGGUAGUUGGUGGGGUAAAGGCCUACCAAGCCUACGAUCUGUAGCUGGUCUGAGAGGACGACCAGCCACACUGGGACUGAGGCACGGCCCAGACUCCUACGGGAGGCAGCAGUGGGGAAUUUUGGACAAUGGGGGCAACCCUGAUCCAGCCAUGCCGCGUGCGGGAAGAAGGCCUUCGGGUUGUAAACCGCUUUUGUCAGGGGAAGAAAAGACUCCUACUAAUACUGGGGGUUCAUGACGGUACCUGAAGAAUAAGCACCGGCUAACUACGUGCCAGCAGCCGCGGUAAUACGUAGGGUGCAAGCGUUAAUCGGAAUUACUGGGCGUAAAGCGUGCGCAGGCGGUUAUGCAAGACAGAUGUGAAAUCCCCGGGCUCAACCUGGGAACUGCAUUUGUGACUACAUGGCUAGAGUACGGUAGAGGGGGAUGGAAUUCUGCGUGUAGCAGUGAAAUGCGUAGAUAUGCG